AGGUUAUCCUUAUCUCGGUCUUCCUCUGUUAUCACUUCUUUCUUACAUCUUUCUCACUCCAUCUCAGUUUCUAUUCCUAAACGAAGGAAAACCCAAAACUAAUUUUUUUUUUCUCCGCCUCAAUCUCGGAUUCAUCAUUGAAACCCUAAGUUUGUACAACAUAACUAAACCGAAAUCGUUCUUUUCACCAUGAAAAUUCUGUACUUGUUUACAUCGAUGAAGAUUUGAAUCGAACUCCAGUUGCAAUCUGGAAAAUAUUGCUGGUAAUGAAAGAGCAGAAUCAAAUGAGUUUGAAUCAGAUGUUCUAUGACCUUGUAGAUUUAAAUGAAGGCUUUCAAUAUGAGUUGAUGCGUCUUUUGAAUCGAAUGAUUAAGCUACUGAACAAGAUGUUGCAGGAGGAGAAAUUAGUAGUCUUAGAGAUCAAAAUCAAAGAAGUUCACUUUGGCUGGUGGUGGAAAGGACUUUAGAUGAACAGCUUCAACAACUUCAUGAAACAAAUUGUAAGGAUUUGGUUCUAUUGCCUUGAUGAGUUCUGUAUUGGGCGAAGCUAGAUUGAAACAUUCGAAACAAGAAAAACGACAAAGGAUAUUUCCUUUAUGUCUCAUGGACCCUUAUUGUACAAAUUAAUCAGUAAACUUUUCUCUAUCUAACUAGCCUGUAAAAAGUGCGACUUUGCUUCAGUUUUGAUUACGGUAUGGUACUUAUGAUAUAAAACAGGGAACCAAGAGACCUAUACUUGAAUACCGAAGAAUUCAUUGAUGUUGUUGCAGAAAAUCUGGAUGUGAAGCUUGUUCAAUCUUUUAAAUAGUGUUUAGUACAAGUUUGGUUACACCAAAUGUUUGUAUUGGAUCGUUAUGCGUACAUGCAACACCUUUUAUCUGAUUUGAUUUGUAAAUGGAAGAAUAAGCAUGCAUUUAGUUCUUAACUUAUUAGUUUAACUAUCACUUUCAUUUAUUUAAGCGCUUAUAAUCAGAUGGUGAGUUGCGAUGACUGGGCUUUGACCUUUUUGCAGGUAUUAUAUUAAUUCCUAAUAAGAUUUUAGAUAUUUCAGUUUGACGUGUUAGGUAUUGUUCUUCUGGUUUGACAAUUUAACAAAUUUCACCGAAGUGUCAUAGGUUUAGUUGAUCAUCCCUAUUAGUGGUUCAUGGGUCAAGCCAAUGGGUCUGGCAGUAUACAUGUUUCCUGCCACAUCCAAGAUAUUUGCGUCUUAUCUUGUAGUGGAGCUUGGCACUGCAAUGGUGAUGGAGCUGAAACGGAGGUAAAAAAUCAACUAGAUUCAUGUUCUCAGCGAUGUUACUACCUGCUGGUGUUGCUGCUCUGUGUAUUCAGUAGCGAAGUCUUUACUGAAGCAGCUGCUCUAUGUAUCCAGUAAGAAUGUGCAUCAGAACUUGCAUAUACUGUCAAUGCUGGUCAUGGUGUAGUUUCCUGUAAGACAAUCAUGGAGUUCUAUCCAAAUGCCGAGGAGCUGGCACUCAAUGACUAGUUUUGCGUUUGAAGUGGGUGAUUAUGAUUGGUUGAGUUUGCUCUUGCUUGAAGCAGAAGGCAUACAAGGAAAUUAAAGAAUGAGAUGAAGAAAUUUUUGGCUUGCAUAUGUCGACAUGAAAUCCUUAACUCUGAAAAUGUUGACAACCCUAGCAAUGUCAUGGAGCUUAGGUUUUGGUCUUUUUAUAAAGAUAAACAUUAGCAAGGAAUGGCUGCAAGAGAAACUGGUGCACUUGAAGAAGCGAAGGAUAAUGUUGAAAAACAAGUGGAGGCUCUUACAUGGCAUUUGCAGUUGAUAGCUCUUGGCAUGUUCAAGGUGUUGCGUGUAAAAUGUUACUACUAAACUAUGAAGUAUUUUAGAAAAAAAAUUGUUGAAACUCAGAACGUCGUCCUUAGCAACAAUCUGAAAAUAGAAGAUUCAUAUUACCAUAUGCAUUGUUAUACUUUUUAGGUCAAGUUGCCUUGGUAGUUUUGUCUGAAGAAGAUUCAGAUGUGGAUCAUGAGUGAUUCUGGUUUUUUUAAUUUGUACAACAGAUUCUGUUUUUAAUAAAAUGCUAAUUCAAUUUUUUGUUUGUCA